rnacentral:ncRNA from 21 species
AUCACAAGUGGCGAUGGAGUCCGCCAUAUAAUUGCCGAUAAAGGCUGAUGACUCCUACUUAUGU